UACGUAGGGGGCAAGCGUUGUCCGGAUUUAUUGGGCGUAAAGAGCGUGUAGGCGGCCAGGUAGGUCCGUUGUGAAAACUCGAGGCUCAACCUCGAGACGCCGAUGGAAACCAUCUGGCUAGAGUCCGGAAGAGGAGAGUGGAAUUCCCGGUGUAGCGGUGAAAUGCGCAGAUAUCGGGAGGAACACCGGUGGCGAAGGCGCCGCUCUGGGCCGAAACUGACGCUGAGGAGCGAAAGCAUGGGUAGCGAACAGG
rnacentral:rRNA from 1 species